rnacentral:rRNA from 1 species
GACGAACGCUGGCGGCGCGCUUAACACAUGCAAGUCGAACGGAAAGGCCUGCUUUCCCUUGUGGAUUGCGGGUACUCGAGUGGCGAACGGGUGAGUAACACGUGAGUGAUCUGCCCCCAACUUGGGUAUAAGCCUGGGAAACUGGGUCUAAUUCCCGAUAGGACUGCAGGGUGGUGCCUGUGGUGGAAAACGAUUUUCUAGUGGUUGGGGAUGAGCUCGCGGCCUAUCAGCUUGUUGGUGGGGUAAUGGCCUACCAAGGCGGCGACGGGUAGCCGGCCUGAGAGGGUGGACGGCCACAUUGGGACUGAGAUACGGCCCAGACUCCUACGGGAGGCAGCGGUGGGGAAUAUUACACAAUGGGCGGAAGCCUGAUGCAGCGACGCCGCGUGGGGGAUGACGGCCUUCGGGUUGUAAACUCCUUUCGACCGCGAGGAAGCCACCUGGUUGGAAGGGUGGUGACGGUAGUGGUAGAAGAAGCACCGGCUAACUACGUG